rnacentral:lncRNA from 1 species
UAAUGAAUGUUCUUUUUCCUUCUUAACAGUCAUAAGUGGAACUAUUUGUAAGCAGACUGGGUCCACUGAAAUCUGCCUAUGAAUAUAAUAGAAUUGUCUUUGCUGACCUCUUCAUUAUGAAUCUAAUUCUUUGGGUGGAAGAAUCAUUAGCUGCCAU